rnacentral:SRP_RNA from 1 species
CCGUGCUAGACGGGGAGGUAGCGGUGCCCUGUACCUGCAACCCGCUAUAGCAGGGUCGAUGCCUGCCCCCGGCUUUUUAUCUUUCAGGGCCUGCCCCCGGCAAAAGGUGCUGACGGCCGGGUCCUGUGCGGCGCAAGCUUGUGAACCCCGUCAGGUCCGGAAGGAAGCAGCGGUAAGCAAAUCCUUGCGGGUGUUACAGGGCAGCCUGGUCCGAGCCGGCUGUCUGGGUAACGCCUGGGAGAUAGAGUCAAAGGCGGGUGCACGG